AGACUUAGGACCAAAGACAUCCAAAGGGUGAGCUUAGAUUAUGCAAGGUUUUGAAAUCUGGGGUGCAGAGUUUUGUCUUCAUGUCAGAGAAAGUUACAGGUUUCUCAACAAAAGAAAAGUUAUUUAUUUAAAGUAACAUUUUAGAAGGACCACUUAGAUGGACAUGUGGAAUAGACUGAAUACAAGAAGGGGAAAAGGGAGGCAGCAGACCUGUUAGGAGUCCCGUUUCUUUUGGACCUGAGCAUGAGAGCCUGUGGAUUGGCAGAGGUCAUGGCAAGGGUGAUGGCAGUGUGGACAUCACAACGAACGGAGAGUGAGUAACCCAAGUCCAGGAGUGAGGAUGCUGGGCUUGAAGACACAUAGAUUGCUUAUGACAAAAAGUGACAUCAGCAGUUGCAGGUGCCAUGUUAUUACACCGGCCCAGAGCCUACCUUCUACUGCGAAUGGCAGACAUAAGCAGCAACUCGAGCAGAAGCAGCUCACGGGUGCAUCUUCUCUUACCCUAAAGCAUGUGUCAGAGGAAGAGGAGGAGGACGAGAUGGAAGAAUGAAGAGGAGGAGAUUUUUAAAUACAGAAGAAAAUGGAGACAAGAUGGACGAUUUUCAUGAAGAAGAGUUACAGAGGAAGAAAAGGAUUUUAAGCAAAAAUAAUGUUAAAAGCACUCUAAGACCACAGAAAAUGUUCAUUGGUUUAUGGCUUUGGAUUGUUGGGACUGGGAGGACAUCACUAAAUGCAUCUACCUUAAUAGCUCUCUCUCUUCUGCUUUCUCUCCUUCCCUCCUUCUGUCUCCAUUCCCUCUCUUUAAGAGGUGAGGGAAUUGAGAUCUAAAAAGAUAAAAUCUUCCCCAAGUUACACAAUUGUGUGGCAGAAAUAAGGUUAAAAAUCUAAACUUACUGAUCAUAAUAAGCUCAAUUUCUUUUUCACAUUACUGGAUGGGAACAAAAAUAUAUAUCAGUGCCACAGUAAAGGCAACUCAAAGAUAAACCAUGGUUAACAAAACAUCUACAACUGAGAUUUGGGUCGCUCAGGGGCCAGCCCUAUUGAUGGAUGUCUAAGCUGAGAAUACACAGUGAAAGAUUUUAGCCAUUAGGUUGAUUUCUCUCCUGUUAACUUGCAUAUGUAAAGGCUGGAUAUAUGCAAUCCAUUAUAAUCUACUAGAUCAUUGUUGAAUUUCUCCCUGGGCUUGCUGCCUUGGUCAGCCCUCUGAUGUCUGAUGUUUUGGUCGGCAUUCCUUUGCCUCCUUGGACUGCUUCCCAUUGCCUGUGCCAGUCCUCAGUCCUAGAUCACCUCAUGCCCUAUAAAACAGUUAGAGAAGGUCACACACUGAGUGAACCUCACCUUCGAGCCCAAUAGCCCUUGAUAGAUUCAGACAGUUGCUCCUAAUUGUUGUUCAGAAAUUAUUUUCUCCCCUAAUUAAUUCUCCGGAAAAUUCCACAUUGUAGUUGUUGCCAUACUGUCCUUCUAUUCUUCUGUCUAGUUCGUCUUCUGAGCAGAUAACCCCAUCUGUUAUUUCUCUGAGAAGCUGAAAGCCAUUUUUCUUUUUCCCUCCCAGAAAAUACCUAUGUGCAUACUUUGGGCAUAUUCUUAUAUACUUCAACACAAAUGAACUCCUACAUCUGUCUCCUGGUCUUAUUCUCCCUCUCUAUUUCCAAACCUCCCACUUUCCCACCUCCUCAGAUUUUUCUCUAUGAAUAAUUCCUUCUAUCUGGUUUGCUUAAAUUUUUUCUUUAUUGGCUCUGUCUCUCUUCAAACAUGCCCAGGCCUCCACUCUCUCGAGGUAAGCAUCCUUGAGCUUACUGCUCAUUUAGCUGGCCUUGGCCCUUGCAUGGUGCAUUUACUCUUAAUAUUUGACUUAUUGCUGUUGUUCAGACCCUUGACAGACCUGUAUCUCUAGCUUAAUCUCUCCUAAACUACAGCUAACUUCUAUUCAAUUCUCUUCAAGAUCAUUUCAGCUUAGUUCCAUCAGUUUAAGAAAAUUUGAUUUCACAUUUGAUUUCUCUCCUGUUGUUCUUCCUCUAACACAUGCUAGGAAAAAAAUGAUACCAUUACUGCUUAAAACUCUUAAGUGACCUAGGAUCAGGUGGGAGCUUCCCUAACUUGAUGAAGAACUUUCAUUUUAAGCCAGUAGUCCAUGUUAUAUUCAACUGUGAAAUUCUAAAGUAUUUCUAUUUAAAUUCAGAAAAUGAUGAGGAUAUUAGCUAUUGCAUAUAUUAUUUAAUGCUGUGGUGGAAUUUAAGAGAUAUAUAUUUUGGAAAAAAGGAGCCAGGUAUAUUUUCAUUUGAAGUUGAUAUGGUUGUUGCCUACUCAGACAACCUAAGGGAAUCGAAUAAAAAAGUAGUAGGAAUAAUAAGAGAGUUUGCCAAGGUUGCAGAUUAUAAAAUAAAUGUCAUAAAACCAAUAGAUUUCCUAUAUACCAGCAAUGACCAGUUGGAAAAGAUGUAAUGAAAAAAAUGAUACCAUUCACAAUAACUCAAAAGUAUAUAAUAACACCAAUAGAUUUAAUAAGAAACAUGCAGGAUUUAUAUGAAUGGAUCUGUAAAACUUUAAUGAAGACUCUGUUAUCUCCGCCAUUCAAAACUCAGCACAAUUCUGCCACCU